UAACGACUCUCGGCAACGGAUAUCUCGGCUCUUGCAUCGAUGAAGAACGUAGCGAAAUGCGAUACUUGGUGUGAAUUGCAGAAUCCCGUGAACCAUCGAGUCUUUGAACGCAAGUUGCGCCCGAGACCUUUAGGUCGAGGGCACGUCUGCCUGGGCGUCACAC
rnacentral:rRNA from 1 species